rnacentral:rRNA from 1 species
UCGGGAAUUUUGGGCAAUGGGCGAAAGCCUGACCCAGCAACGCCGCGUGAAGGAUGAAGUAUUUCGGUAUGUAAACUUCGAAAGAAUAGGAAGAAUAGAUGACGGUACUAUUUAUAAGGUCCGGCUAACUACGUGCCAGCAGCCGCGGUAAUACGUAGGGACCAAGCGUUGUUCGGAUUUACUGGGCGUAAAGGGCGCGUAGGCGGCAAUUCAAGUCAUCUGUGAAAUCUCCGGGCUUAACUCGGAACGGUCAGAUGAUACUGCUUUGCUAGAGUGCAGAAGGGGCAAUCGGAAUUCUUGGUGUAGCGGUGAAAUGCGUAGAUAUCAAGAGGAACACCUGAGGUGAAGACGGGUUGCUGGGCUGACACUGACGCUGAGGCGCGAAAGCCAGGGGAGCAAACGGGAUUAGAUACCCCAGUAGUCCCUGAGCGGGCUGGCAAGGCGCAU